rnacentral:tRNA from 1 species
GAGGUUGUGGCUCAGUGGUAGAGUGCUCACCUAGCAUGAACGAGCCACUGGGUUUGAUCCUCAGCACCACA